rnacentral:rRNA from 1 species
AUUGAACGCUGGCGGCAUGCUUUACACAUGCAAGUCGAACGGUAACAGGCCGCAAGGUGCUGACGAGUGGCGCACGGGUGCGUAAUGCAUCGGAACGUGCCCAGUCGUGGGGGAUAACUACUCGAAAGAGUAGCUAAUACCGCAUACGAUCUAUGGAUGAAAGCGGGGGACCGUAAGGCCUCGCGCGAUUGGAGCGGCCGAUGUCAGAUUAGGUAGUUGGUGGGGUAAAGGCUCACCAAGCCAACGAUCUGUAGCUGGUCUGAGAGGACGACCAGCCACAGGGGGACUGAGACAGGGCCGGGACUACGACGGGAGGCAGCAGCGGGGAAGUAUGGAGAAUGAGGGCAGGCGUGAGCCGACAAUGCCGCGGGAAGGAAGGAGGCAUUAGGGUCGGAGACUGCAUUGGCACGGAAAAAAAAAGCACUGGUGAAUACCCGGGGCUAAGGACGGUGGGGAAAAGAUAGACACCGGCUAACUACGUG